rnacentral:lncRNA from 1 species
AUUUUCCUGUUCUUCUGCAGCCUUUGGGGGUCUACAAGAGCAGAAUUGUUUUCAGAGUAUGCUGUACCAAGAGUCCUGUUGAUCACAGUGGUCAUUGAGAUUCCUGCCAAGAUGAGAACAUAAUGAAAAAGCUGAGCACAGCUUCUGUGACUCAAGCUAAGAACAGAAAAUGGAGGAAAGAAUCAGGGAAGUGGAAACGAACCAAUGAUUUUAUUAAUUGGGUUUUUCAAAACACUUCUUGUGUGUGUGAACAGCUGCCAAACAUCUCACCAAGUGUUGCUGAGUAGCUUCUAACUUGGGUGAGCUCCCACAAAGGGUGAAGAGGACAAGGAGGUGUAAGCUGCAGAGCUGGGGCUGUGGAUUGGUUUCGGUGUCACAAGUGCUUCCAGGUAAUGCUGAGUCUCAGCAGCUUCAUGAGAGCUGGAUGUGAUGGGCUUGUGCUACUGCAAAGGGGUGUGCAAGUCUGGGGUUAUAACCUCAGAAAAAGAAGCCAGCAAUUACACCUGCCAGCAUUUUCCCCUGGCCACUGGUGCAAUUACCCAUCAAGGAUAAUUGACAGCAAGAUAAUAGGGAAAGGUGAACCCCAGGCAGGCAAUGACUGUCCAAAUACAUGUACCUUAGAGAGACUCAGUAUAGCUGCACUGCUGGGAUGAUGUCCUGUGCUGCGCUGCUGAGGCAGGAGGAAUUACGCAUCCAGCUGAUAGGGCUGAGCUCACCCACCAAUGGCAAAAAGGUACAGUGGCCACUUUCUCAAGAAAGUAGAUGAUAAAUAUUUAUGCCAUUCCUUAGCACUGGUUCCACUGUUCAGGAAAUUACAUUCGGAGCCGAUGUUCUUCAUAAUAAAGUCGAGACAAAUAUCUGGACCUCUAGUAUA